rnacentral:lncRNA from 1 species
UGGUUCUGGAUAGUGUUCGGUGGUAUGUGGUUCUGGUACGUUUGGAAGAUGGUUCUGGGUGUCUGGUGGGUGCUUCUGCUGUGUCCGGAAGUUGGUUCGGUGUGUCUGGUUGGUGGUUCCAGCAUGUCUGAGUAGUGGUUCCAGUGUGUCCAGUGGGUGGUUCCAGGUGGUUCCGGCGUGUCUGUCGGGUGUGUUUCUGGUGGGUCUGGUGGGUGGUUCUGAUAUAUCUGUGUGGUGGUUCCACUGUUUCUGGUGGGUGAUUCUGGCAUGUCUGGCUGGUUGUUCCGGCAUAUAAGGGGCCUGGUUCUAGGGUAUCUGGCAGGUGAUUUCAGCAUAUCCGGCAGGUGGUUCAGGUAUGUCUGGAAGGUGGUUCCGGCGUGUCCGGCACCUGGUUCUGGCAUACCUGACAGGUGGUUCUGGCGUGCUCGGCAUGUGUUUCUGGAGUGUCUGUCAAGUGGUUCAGGGGUAUCCGUCAGGUGGUUCAGUCUUGUCUGGCAGGUGGUUCAGUUUGGUCUGGCACGUGGUUCCAGCAUGUCCGGCCAGUGGUACCAGUGUGUCAUUCAGGUGGUUCCAACAUGUCAGGCAGGGGGUUCCUGUUGUCUGGCAUGAGUUUCCAGUAUGUCCAGAAGGUGGUUCUGACAUGUGCGGUGGGUGCUUCCGGGGUGUCCAGCAGUUGGUUCCAGCAUGUCCAGCAGUUGAUUCCAGCGUGUCUGACAUGUGGCUACAACAUGUCCAGGACAUGAUCUCGUCAUUUCACUUUCGUGGUUUUGGCCAGUCUGAGGGGUGGUUCCGGCGUGUCCGGCAGAUUUUUCUGGCUUGCCUGGAAGUUGGUUCUGGCAUAUCUGGCAGGUGAUUUCAGUGUGUCUGGCAGGCAGAUAUGGCGUGUCAAGCACCUGGCUCUGGCAUGUUCGGCUGGUGCUUCCGGCAUGUUCACUUGAUGGUUCUGGCGUUUCCUGAAGGUGAUGACAGCGUGUCCGGCAAGUGGGUCCCUUGUGUCUAGCAGGUGGUUGAAGCUUCUCCAGCAGGUGGUUCAGGUGUGUCCAGCACCUGGUUCCAGCAUGUGCAACAGCUGUUUUUGGCAUAUCCGGCAGGUGGCUCCAACGUGUCUGGCAGGUGGUUCAGUCAUGUUGGGAACCUGGUUUCAGCAUGUGCGACACCUGUGUCUGGUGUAUCUGGCAGGUGGUUCUGGCAUGUCCGGCACCUGGUUCUGGUGUAUCCGGCAGGUGGUUUCACAGUGACCGGUUCAGGUGUGCUCAGCAGUUGGUUCUGGCGUGUCAGUCACUCGGUUUUAGCGUGCUGGGCAUGUGGUUCUGGAAUGUCCAUAAAGUGAUUCAGGCUGGUCCAGCAAGUGGUUCAGGCUAGUCUGGAAGGGGCUUCACGCUUGUCUGGCACCUGGUUCCGUCCUGUGGUUUUCCUGUUUCUGGAGUAUCCAGCAGAUGUGUCCACGAGGUGGUUCCAGCAUGUGUGGCACAUAGUUUUGGCGUAUCUGACAGGUGAUUUGGACAUGUCUGGCAGGUGUUUCCACCAUGUCCAGGACCUGAUUCUGGCAUAUUGGCAGGUGGUUUCAGCGUAUCCAGCAGAUGUUUCUGGCAUAUCCAACAGGUGGUUCCGGUGUGUCUAGCAGGGGCCCAAGAUGGUACAGGAUAGUGGCAAAGAGUGUGGGCUUUGACUUGGGUUUUAAUCUCUACCCUGCCACUGUUUUAAAUCCAAAGGUUGAAGGCCAUAUAUGGCCUUGGGCAAGAGACGUAAUCCUUCAUAAACCUCAGUUUGAUAACAGUCUCUUCUCCAUGGAGUUUUAAGAUAAAUUAUAUUACAGUACCUGGCAAAUAGUAGAUUUUCAAUAAAUGUACUUUAAAAUACUAAUAAUGACA